GAUGAACGCUGGCGGCGUGCUUAACACAUGCAAGUCGAGCGAGAACCUUGAACUUUGAGAUUUCGGUCAAAGAGUUCAAGCGGACAGCGGCGGACGGGUGAGUAUCGCGUAGGCAACCUGCCUUUCACAGAGGGAUAGCCUCGGGAAACCGGGAUUAAAACCUCAUGAUACCGAAUUAACACAUGUUUAUUCGGUCAAAGAUUUAUCGGUGAUAGAUGGGCCUGCGUCUGAUUAGUUAGUUGGUAAGGUAACGGCUUACCAAGGCUACGAUAAGUAACCUACCUGAGAGGGUAAUCGGUGACAUUGGAACUGAGACAUGGUCCAAACUCCUACGGGAGGCAGCAGUGGGGAAUAUUGCACAAUGGGCGCAAGCCUGAUGCAGCAACGCCGCGUGAGCGAUGAAGGUCCUAUGGAUCGUAAAGCUCUGUCCUUGGGGAAGAAAAAAAUGACGGUACCCAAGGAGGAAGCCCCGGCUAACUACGUGCCAGCAGCCGCCGUAA
rnacentral:rRNA from 1 species